CUUCCUUUCCUGACUUUGCUGUUGAGGGUGCUCAGUUUCAGCAAAGAAAUGACAUGAUAGGCAAGAUGGAGAGAUAUGACUACCUCAUUGGCUACUACCUCUUCACCCCAUCCCAUAGUUCACAGAUCCUCCACCAGGAUUCUGUCCUUAGUAUACAUUAAGAAGGCUGGUAAGACACUGGAACCUGCAGAAACCAAUGCGGAGUGAAAGCAUGAGUCGGCGUUACCAAGGCGGAAGCUGGCAGAGAAGAAAAUCCCCAACCUGUUCUGUCAGGUCAGCAGGCAGACUGGCUCUACACAGGGAGGAUUGCAACGUUAUGAGAGACAGGGUCUCCCCAUGUUGCCCAGUCUAGCCUCAAAUGUGUGAUGCUUCUGCCUCAGCCUUCUGAGAAGGAUUAUAGGUGUGUGCCACCAUGCCUGGAUUCCAUGAAGUUUUCGAGUCCCUUGUAGACUGCAGAUGGGCUGUUCUUCCUCACAACAGCUACUCUACUGUUGUAGCCUAAAAGCAGCCCUGGAGCCUAGUUAUGCUGUUACUGGGCUUCAUCCGCUGGCAUUACAUGGGAUCACUUGGUGUAUGGGAGAAGCAAGUCUGGAGGCAAGGAGACCAGUCGGAAGCUGAGCUAUUUGAAGAUGUGAGCACCUGAUAUCCAUCAGGAAUACCACAGGAAAAUCUCUGCUCACUAGAAAUCAAUAUUUCAGAACCUUCAGACUUUUAGAACUACCACAAAGGCAGAACAAACCUCCAAAUCUAAAAACAACCACAAAACCAGCAAAAAAGCCCUGCCUUGGGGGCAAAGAAGAAGGUCCUGGAUUUCUACUAACAGAUGAUAAAGAAGACGAUUCAUUGAGCUAAAAGUUAUUCCCAUGAUGCUAUGUUGAUAAAAAAAAAAAAAAGGCAGUGCUCUAAUUGGAUAGAAUACACACAUGAUCUGGAGAUCCACACACAGUCUGUGUGUAAAUAUACAUUUAUGUAUACUUUUUUGGCAUGAAAAUAUUGAGGUAUAGAAGUAGCAUAAGACAUUAAAAAAAAAAAAAGAAAGUAAUUUUUAACAAAGAAAAAGGAAAAAGAAAAUAGGAUUGAUCUAAGCCUAGGUAGUAAAGUUGGGAACAAUGUGGUCCUAUCCUGUGAUCAGCCAUGGAAAGGACAAGGGGCUGGAGAACACUGUGAAACACACAGGACAACUCUGCAGAGUGCAUCAGUCAGUCAUCUUCACCUUGUACUCCCAGUAUCCAGGAUUCAGUGAUGCAGGUGCCUUUCCCUGGAGGGGAGGGCACAUACUGCAGUCACCUGAGGCCUUCAAAGAGAAUACAGACCUAUUUACAUCAGUAGAGCAAUAUUUUAUUUAGUUAAUAGACACAUCCGACACUAACAUUCAGACACUAACAUUCAGCAUUCUGGGAAAGACAUUCAUAAUUAAAUAUGAAUGACCUUAAAUAACAAAACCCGCCCCUGGUGCAGCAGAGGGCUUAGGCAAUGCUGUGGAGCCAGCUGUGUACUGUAUCUAUUCCACACUAGUAUCAGAGAAAAGCAAAGGGAAAAGAUAUUUUUUAAAAAUUGCGCUAUUCUUAAAAAAAGAAGUUUCAAAACUAGUAAACUUGUAAAAAGAACCAUGGACAGAUAGUACUUGUCAAAUAAAUAUUAUCUGUGCCCAUAGAAAUUGCAUUGGACUUUUCACACACAUUACUUUUAUUAUUUUCAUAAUCAUUUAUAUCCCAGCUUAUAGAGAGGACACUGAAGUUUACAGAAGUGAUAAUCAUUAUCUAUUACAGUAAAAAAGAGUACUUAAAAACUUAGUAGCUGAAGGGUCAGCUCUGUAGCGUAGUGGUAGUGUGCUGCUCCAAAAAGCCAGGGGCUGGUCCCACAGGAGAGUAGUUGGUCACAGUGCAGAGGGGCCAGAUCCCACGUGGCCAACUGGGUUCAAAUCUGAGCCCUAAUGGCAAUAUGCCAGUGCAUGCACCCAGAGUCCUGAUGGAAUGGAGAAUU